CACUUCUGACCAUUUACUGUAUAUGUGGCAUUGGGGAAUCAAACCCAGGGCUUCAUAUAUAUGAGGCAAGCACUCAUGCCACCAGGUCAUAAUCCCAGCCCUCUCAUAUACUUUCCUGCCUAGGCUGGCUUCAAACUGUGAUCCUCAGAU